rnacentral:rRNA from 1 species
UACGUAGGGUGCGAGCGUUAAUCGGAAUACUGGGCGUAAAGCGUGCGCAGGCGGUUCGUUGUGUCGGUGGUGAAAUCCCCGGGCUUAACCUGGGAAUGGCCAUGGAAACUGGCGAACUGGAGUGUGGCAGAGGGGGGUGGAAUUCCGCGUGUAGCAGUGAAAUGCGUAGAGAUGCGGAGGAACACCGAUGGCGAAGGCAGCCCCCCUGGGCUAGCACUGACGCUCAGGCACGAAAGCGUGGGGAGCAAACAGG